rnacentral:tRNA from 1 species
UAAUCAAUAGCUCAGUUGGUUAGAGCAUCUGACUGUUAAUCAGAGGGUCCUUGGUUCGAGCCCAAGAGGAGGAGCAA